AUGCUUAGGGAAGAGCUUGCGUCACAUUAGUUAGUUGGUGGGGUAAUGGCCUACCAAGACGAUGAUGUGUAGCCGGGCUGAGAGGUCGAACGGCCACAUUGGGACUGAGACACGGCCCAAACUCCUACGGGAGGCAGCAGUAAGGAAUUUUCGGCAAUGGAGGAAACUCUGACCGAGCAAUGCCGCGUGAACGAUGAAGUAUUUCGGUACGUAAAGUUCUUUUAUUAGGGAAGAAAAGAUGGUGGAAAAACCAUUAUGACGGUACCUAAUGAAUAAGCCCCGGCUAACUAUGUGCCAGCAGCCGCGGUAAUACAUAGGGGGCAAGCGUUAUCCGGAAUUAUUGGGCGUAAAGGGUGCGUAGGCGGUUAAAUAAGUUUAUGGUCUAAGUGCAACGCUCAACGUUGUGAUGCUAUAAAAACUGUUUAGCUAGAGUUGGAUAGAGGCAAGUGGAAUUCCGUGUGUAGUGGUAAAAUGCGUAAAUAUACGGAGGAACACCAGAAGCGAAGGCGGCUUGCUGGGUCUUAACUGACGCUGAGGCACGAAAGCGUGGGGAGCAAACAGGAUUAGAUACCCUGGUAGUCCACGCCCUAAACGAUGAGUACUAAACGUUGGAUAAAACCAGUGUUGAAGUUAACACAUUAAGUACUCCGCCUGAGUAGUACGUACGCAAGUAUGAAACUUAAAGGAAUUGACGGGACUCCGCACAAGCGGUGGAUCAUGUUGUUUAAUUCUAAGGUACCCGAAAAACCUCACCAGGUCUUGACAUGCUUUUGCAAAGCUGUAGAAAUACAGUGGAGGUUAUCAGAAGCACAGGUGGUGCAUGGUUGUCGUCAGCUCGUGUCGUGAGAUGUUGGGUUAAGUCCCGCAACGAGCGCAACCCUUGUUGUUAAUUGCCAUCAUUAAGUUGGGGACUUUAGCAAGACUGCCAAUGAUAAAUUGGAGGAAGGUGGGGACGACGUCAAAUCAUCAUGCCCCUUAUGACCUGGGCUACAAACGUGAUACAAUGGCUGUUACAAAGGGUAGCUAAAGCGUAAGCUUCUGGCGAAUCUCAAAAAAGCAGUCUCAGUUCGGAUUGAAGUCUGCAACUCGACUUCAUGAAGU
rnacentral:rRNA from 1 species